CCUACGGGAGGCAGCAGUGAGGAAUAUUGGUCAAUGGGCGCUAGCCUGAACCAGCCAAGUAGCGUGAAGGAUGACUGCCCUAUGGGUUGUAAACUUCUUUUAUAUGGGAAUAAAGUGCAGUAUGUAUACUGCUUUGCAUGUACCUUAUGAAUAAGGAUCGGCUAACUCCGUGACAGCAGCCGCGGUAAUACGGAGGAUCCGAGCGUUAUCCGGAUUUAUUGGGGUUAAAGGGAGCGUAGGCGGGUUGUUAAGUCAGUUGUGAAAGUUUGCGGCUCAACCGUAGAAUUGCAGUUGAUACUGGCAUGCGUGAGUACAGUAGAGGUAGGCGGAAUUCGUGGUGUAGCGGUGAAAGGCGUAGAGAUCACGAAGAACUCCGAUGGCGAAGGCAGCCUGCUGGACUGUAACUGACGCUGAUGCGCGAAAGUGUGGGUAUCAAACAGGAUUAGAUACCCGUGUAGUC
rnacentral:rRNA from 1 species